UACGAGGGGAGCAAGCGUUGUUCGGAUUUACUGGGCGUAAAGGGCGCGUAGGCGGUGUGACUAGUCACUUGUGAAAUCUCCGGGCUUAACUCGGAACGGUCAAGUGAUACUGUCGUGCUAGAGUACAGAAGGGGCAACUGGAAUUCUCGGUGUAGCGGUGAAAUGCGUAGAUAUCGAGAGGAACACCUGCGGCGAAGGCGGGUUGCUGGGCUGAUACUGACGCUGAUGCGCGAAAGCCAGGGGAGCGAACGGG
rnacentral:rRNA from 1 species